rnacentral:rRNA from 1 species
GGGGCUUGAGCGUGCAGCUUGCAUGCCUGCAGGUCGACGAUUAGAGUUUGAUCCUGGCUCAGGACGAACGCUGGCGGCGGGCUUAACACAUGCAAGUCAGAGGGGAUUAGUUCAGCAAUGAAUUGGUUCACUGGCGCACGGGUGCGUAACACGUAGGAAACCUGCCCUGAAGUGGGGGAUAACGUUCCGAAAGGAACGCUAAUACCGCAUAGGACAGUUGGGGCGCAUGCCACCGGCUGUUAAAGUAGUAAUACGCUUUGGGAUGGUCCUGCGUCCGAUUAGGUAGUUGGCGGGGUAGAAGCCCACCAAGCCGGUGAUCGGUAGCUGGUCUGAGAGGAUGAUCAGCCACACGGGGACUGAGACACGGCCCCGACUCCUACGGGAGGCAGCAGUGAGGAAUCUUGCGCAAUGGCCGAAAGGCUGACGCAGCCACGCCGCGUGCUGGAAGAAGGUUCUAUGAAUUGUAAACAGCUUUUACCUGGGAAGAAUGGCAGGGUUUCGACCUUGCAGAGACGGUACCGGGAGAAUAAGCACCGGCUAACUCCGUGCCAGCAGCCGCGGUAAUACGGAGGGUGCAAGCGUUGUCCGGACUUAUUGGGUGUAAAGGGUGCGCAGGCGGGUUAUUAAGUCUGGGGUGAAAGGCCGCCGCUCAACGGUGGGAAUGCCUUGGAUACUGGUAAUCUGGAGUGUAGGGGAGGUCGACGGAAUUGGCGGUGUAGCGGUGAAAUGCAUAGAUAUCGCCAAGAACACCAGUGGUGAAGACGGUCGGCUGGCCUAUAACUGACGCUCAGGCACGAAAGUGUGGGGGAUCAAACAGGAUUAGAUACCCUGGUAGUCCACACUGUAAACGAUGUAUGCUAGGUGUUGGGCGUGUCUUAGGGCAUGUUCAGUGCUGGAGUUAACGCGAUAAGCAUACCACCUGGGGAGUACGCCGGCAACGGUGAAACUCAAAGGAAUUGACGGAAUCUCUAGAGGAUCCCCGGGUACCGAGCUCGAAUUCGUAAUCAUGGUCAUAGCUGU